UUCCCUGUAGCUCAGAUGGUAAAGAAUCUGCCUGCAAUGCAGGAGAUCCAGGUUUGAUCCCUGGGUGGGGAA
rnacentral:tRNA from 1 species